GGUACUUAUACACCUACGAGUUAAAAGGGAAUCCGGUGUAAAUCCGGAGCUGACGCGCAGCGGUAAGGGGAAGUCACGGCGAAAGGUUGCAACAGACACUGUCCACCAGGAUGGGAAGUCAUCGCCAGCUCUGUUCUCAGAGAUCCCAAGCCCGAAGACCUGCCGGUAUU
rnacentral:ncRNA from 1 species